UGCGGAGCUUUUCCACGUCAGUGUGUUUACCAAGGCCAGAUUGACAGCUGCAGGAAGGUGUUCACUUUAUUCACUUAUGGAGCAUUAUUUUGAAGAGUGAAUGAAUACGUGGUGUUUGGAAUUAUUACGGUAUCACGCAGUGGAAUGUCCGAAAACAGCAGUUUUUCCUGUUGUCGUGCUGAACUGAAUUUAGGUCUUCUUCAUUCACUGUUGGCCGGCUAGCCUGCUAGCUUUCCGAACUAGGCUAGCAUAAGCUACAGCAGGACUCCAUCUCUGAAAUAGCAGCCACACACAGAAAGCAGCAUGGUGGACAAGAACAUCUACAUCGUCCAGGGUGAGAUUAGUACCGUUGUUGGAGCUAUCAAGAGGAACUCCAGGUGGAAUACCCACACUCCACUGGAUGAAGAGCAGGACCCUCUACUUAACAGCUUUGCCCACCUGAAAGAAACCCUCAACUACAUUAAAGGUACGUGGGGCUGAUAGGGUGUACGUGAUGGGAUUAGUUCAGGUUUCACAAGCUGUUUGACCUCAUGUUGACAUGAAAUGAGGCUCUCGUACCAUGUCAACUGAAAUAUGAAUAACACUGGGUGGUUGAAAUGAGAGUGGUACCAGGGUCUGGUCUGGUUCAGGAAAAGCCAUGAAUUCAGCUCUGGAGCUGAUAGUAUUGGUGGGGCCAACAGCACGUGCAUUGGGCCCCUUUCUCUCUUUGUCCAUCAGGUUUGCAGUGAUAACAGAU